rnacentral:rRNA from 1 species
UCGGCAACGGAUAUCUCGGCUCUCGCAUCGAUGAAGAACGUAGCGAAAUGCGAUACUUGGUGUGAAUUGCAGAAUCCCGUGACCAUCGAGUCUUUGAACGCAAGUUGCGACUGAAGCCACCCGGCUGAGGGCACGUCUGCCUGGGCGUCACGC